rnacentral:rRNA from 1 species
GACGAACGCUGGCGGCGUGCUUAACACAUGCAAGUCGAACGAAAAGAGGGAAAGAGCUUGCUCUUUCCGGAAUUGAGUGGCAAACGGGUGAGUAACACGUAAACAACCUGCCUUCAGGAUGGGGACAACAGACGGAAACGACUGCUAAUACCGAAUAAGUUCCAAGGGCCGCAUGGCCCAUGGAAGAAAAGGUGGCCUCUACCUGUAAGCUAUCGCCUGAAGAGGGGUUUGCGUCUGAUUAGCUGGUUGGAGGGGUAACGGCCCACCAAGGCGACGAUCAGUAGCCGGUCUGAGAGGAUGAACGGCCACACUGGAAUUGAGACACGGUCCAGACUCCUACGGGAGGCAGCAGUGGGGAAUCUUCCGCAAUGGGCGAAGGCCUGACGGAGCAACGCCGCGUGAGUGAUGACGGCCUUCGGGUUGUAAAACUCUGUGAUCCGGGACGAAAAGGCAGAGUGCGAAGAACAAACUGCAUUGACGGUACCGGAAAAGCAAGCCACGGCUAACUACGUG